UACGUAGGGACCGAGCGUUGUCCGGAAUCAUUGGGCGUAAAGAGCGUGUAGGCGGCUUGCUAAGUCUUGCGUGAAAUCUCGGGGGCUCAACCCCGAGCGGUCGUGGGAAACUGGCAGGCUAGAGUGCGGGAGAGGAGAAUGGAAUUCCUGGUGUAGCGGUGAAAUGCGCAGAUAUCAGGAAAGAACACCCGUGGCGAAGGCGGUUCUCUGGGCAUGAUCUGACGUGAGGAGCGAAAGUGUGGGGGAGGCGAAACAGG
rnacentral:rRNA from 1 species